GCCUGAUGAACUCGGGAUGGCCGGGCAGUGAUAGUUGUUCCUUUCCAUCACUCGUUGUGUUGACUUCAUCAUGUCCAUUUUGUGAUGUUUUUUCACUAUAUAAUCAUAUUGCAAGUGCACGUGCAUUUGCAAUAUGUUUCAAUGUGCAUUUACCAUAUGAAAUUUGACCUUGCUCAAAAAUGCAAAAUUGACUGGUCUGAUGAACACAGGAUGGCCGAGCAGUGAUAGUUGUACAUUUCCAUCACUCGUUGUGUUGAUUUCAUCAUCUCCGUUAGGUGAUGUUUUUACACUAUAGAAUCAUAUUGCAAAUGCACGUGCAUUGUUGUGCAACUGGUAACCCAAAAAUUAAAAUAUGGUUGUAAAUGCAUUUACCGGGACUCCUAUUAUCCAUGCCCGCUAUGGGAGUACCCUACUACGGCCCUCUAUCUAUGGGGGCAGUCCUGAGUGCUUUAUGGACUGUUUAAAAUAUUCUGAUGGAUACGCAUGUUGUGCAACUGGUGAUUGAAAAUAGGCACCUGGUAACCCAAAAAUGAAAAUAUGGUUGUGAAUGCAUUUACCGGUCAUUCUGAUAUUAAUGCCCGCUAUGGGAACACAGGAUGGCCGGGCAGUGAUAGUUGUACAUUUCCAUCACUCGUUGUGUUGAUUUCAUCAUGUCCAUUAGGUGAUGUUUUUACACUAUAGAAUCAUAUUGCAAGUGCGCGCGCAUUUGCAAUAUGUUUCAAUGUGCAUUUACCAUAUGAAAUUUGAAAUGCUCAAAAAUGCUAAAUUGACUGGUCUGAUGGACACAGGAUGGCCGAGCAGUGAUAGUUGUACAUUUCCAUCACUCGUUGUGUUGAUUUCAUCAUGUCCAUUAGGUGAUGUUUUUUCACUAUAGAAUCAUAUUGCAAAUGCACGUGCAUUGUUGUGCAACUGGUAACCCAAAAAUAAAAAUAUGGUUGUAAAUGCAUUUACCGGUCAUUCUGAUAUUAAUGCUCGCUAUGGGAACACAGGAUGGCCGGGCAGUGAUAGUUGUACAUUUCCAUCACUCGUUGUGUUGAUUUCAUCAUGUCCAUUAGGUGAUGU